CGUACGGCUGUGCUCUCCCUCCUCCUCCACCUCCUGAGUAUUCCUGGCGGGCAGCGAUGGGCAAGCAGAAGAGACGCAACGCCUUCUUCUACUUCAUGACGGCCAAGAAACCCGAGGUGGAGAAGCGGCUCAAGAGAAAGGUGGAGAUGGCCAAGCUGGUGACGGCGGAGUGACAGGGGAACGGCUGGCUGUCUGACCCGCAGCAGACCAAGAGCAGAAUUACACUGGAGAGCACAGUGGUCACCCAGCAGACCAGCAGCAAACACCAGAAAAUGAGAAAAAUUGUCCCUCAAUGCUUGAAGGACGGUUACUCUGGGCUGCUCCACGUGGCUGCUCCAUCUGCCGGGGCCGACGAUGCAAGUCUCCCUUUCAGAAUUCACCACAACCAAGUGUUACCAAGUGAGGCGAGGAUGGCCCAGGGCACCACCACCACCAUCGCCACAGUCACCUCCAGAAAGCAACACCGCAUCAUUUUUUUUUUUCACAGCUAAAGAAUCGCCUCAAGGGCAACAAAAAAGGUGUAAAAUAAAAAGCCCGCUAAUCGCUGAUCCCACAAAGACAAUAGUGAAAGGUGGCCAAA